ensembl:lncRNA novel transcript
AGAGCUGUGCUGCCCAUGGGAGUCCAGAGAAGGAGCACACUAAGGACCAACACCAGAGAGAAGACAGCUGUCUGCAAACCAGAAAGAGAGUCCUCACUGCACUUCAUAUCUGCCAAUGGAUCCUUGCUCUUGAACCUCCCAACCUGCAGAAUCAUGAGAAACAAACAUUGUGUAAGCCACCCACUCUACAGUAAUUUGUUCUAGCAGACCGAGCUGACUGAGGUAUGGUCUCAUCACGUAACCACUUUUAACCUUAGUCUUUCUAUCUGUAAAGUAAGUGGGUUAGAGAAAUCAUUCUAGAAGAUGUUUCUGCUUUAAAACAAAUUCUUCUAUUUCCUUUCCAAUGUGAAGUUUGGGUGGU